rnacentral:rRNA from 1 species
CGCAUCUGUGCAUGCAGUAUAUCAAUAAGCGGAGGAAAAGAAACUAACAAGGAUUCCCUUAGUAACGGCGAGUGAAGCGGGAAGAGCUCAAAUUUGAAAUCUUCAAGGUUUUACCUUGACGAAUUGUAGUUUAAAGAAGUGUUUUCUGUUGAAGUUUUGGUAAAAGUUCUUUGGAAUAGGACAUCAUAGAGGGUGAGAAUCCCGUAUUUGACCAUUAUUUUCAGCUGUGUGAUACACUUUCAAAGAGUCGGAUUAGUUUGGGAAUGCAGUCCAAAAUGGGUGGUAAAUUUCAUCUAAAGCUAAAUAUUGGCGAGAGACCGAUAGCGAACAAGUACCGUGAGGGAAAGAUGAAAAGAACUUUGAAAAGAGAGUUAAACAGUACGUGAAAUUGUCAAAAGGGAAGCGUUUGACACCAGUGUUGUUUUCUCGAAAAUCAAUUAAAAAGAGUUAGAUUUUGUUGUGUAUUGACCUUAACAGCUUGCAUUUCAAUUUUCUUGCUUUUUUUAAUGCACUUUUCGUUUAACAAGUCAACAUCAGUUUCUUUUGUUGUAAAAAGGUCAUUGGAAGGUGGCUUUCUUUUCGGAGAAAGUGUUUAUAGCCUUUGACUCCUGCAAUCGGAGAGACUGAGGUCUGCAGCGUAGAUCCUUCGGGGUUAGAUACAUUUGUGCUAAGUUAUAGCUUUUUAUAGACAACUUGUUGACUAUGAUUAGUCUUGUAGCUUACUCGCUUAUGCUAUUUUACCUACGCUUAGGAUGUUGACGCGCGUGUGUGCGUG